ensembl:lncRNA
UUUCAAGGCUGUGUUUUCACAGAUGGGAUGAGCCAGCCUGGUAGCUCAUAGCUGCUGAAAAAGAAGAGGUUUGAGUUGGAAGGAGCCUUUAAAGGUCACAUAGUCCAACCCCCCCCCGCAACAAACAAGGACACGCACAGCUCAGUCAGGUGCUCAGAGCCCCGUCCAGCCUGACCUUGGAUGUCUCCAGGGAUGGGGUUCUACUGGUCCUGUUUGCGUGAGACUUUCCCACAUUAACCCAGGGUAAUGAAACGCAGCAGCAGCACUCCUAAGAAAAAAGGGGGCCAGGCAAGGUACAGGAGCACCCUGUAAGGAAGGAAGGUUUGUCACUGUCUGCUGAUCUGCUUUAGAGAAACCGUAAGGUCAUGGCCUGAACCAGUGAUUGAGCACCCGGUGAAGGGGCGUACGCAGCCCUGGGAGCACAGGUGUGAGCAAUUCACUUGUGCCACCAGAACCUAACCUCAUUUAAGGGCUGGCAGCCACAAGGGAAGCAUCUCUAAUUGGAGGUCCCCAUCCUUUUUCAGUAUGCUCUGAUCCUUGGAAUAGUGGUAAAUGAUUCCUUUUCUGUUUCUGGAUGGUGACUACUACCUUUCUUGGGUUGAAAGCAACUGUCUAUUGUCACCUAUAUUUACUCCUGCUGACCAGGGAGAGAAAAGGACUUGCUAGUCCAGCCCUUUUCAUUCCAGCUAUAGUGAAGUUUAGAACUCUAUGGUGCUUUUUACUAUCCUUGUUAGCUAACAAAGGGAAACCGUGGCAAAGCUUCAGUGAGAGGCAGACCUACAAGGUAGGGAGCUUUCUGCUGCGUUGCCUCAUCUUUUCCUUCUGCCUACCCCAGAACAGUUCCUUAUAUUACAAGAACUUGCCCUCAGGAUAGUGAGCUGGAGAGAUACUGUUUUCUGCUGCCUUCCCUUAAGUAAGUACUUGAACUUGUCCCUGCUGGAGCCUGUCAGGAGGACUUCAAGUACAAAUCUGGGGUAUUCACAGAAGAAACCUCUCCUGCAGAGAAUGCAGCUUAAUGUAGUCUUGUCCUGGUUUCAGAUGAAACUGAAUUGAUUUUUCCUUUUAGUGUCUGACAUGAUGCUAUAUUUUGGCCUUGGUAGAAAAAGCAGCGUUAAUAGCAUGCUGAUGGUUUGCUUGUUGCUGAGUGAUGGGAGCACAGUAGGACUGGGUGACUUAGUGAGCAAGAACUAUGGCCUUCCUGGUGAAAGAGCAGAAAACUGAGUUGUUUAGGGGCUGGCUGGGUGUUAGUGGGUGGGUGGUGAGCUGUUGUGUUGGGAGUGGGGCACUGCCCAGUGAGCAGUGGUGGCAGGGGAUGAGACUUUGCAUUCUGAAAGCGUGUGUGAAAAUAUAUAGCAUUGCAUUUUUUCUUUUCUCUCUUCUUUUUCUGUCUCUUAUGUCAACUCUCAAAUUCUACCUUCUUUUUCCCCCCAGUUCUCUCUCUCAUUCCUCUUACAUGGGUAAAAGCGUGGUGCUGAGCUGCUGCCAGGUUAAACCAGAACCAUCCUACCAGCAGAGUAUCCAACAGCUGCUUUCCAUGGUGAUGAGUUUUGUAAGGAGCAAAGCAGUUUUGUAUUAACAACUCCGUAGCCCUGUAGGCUUAUAGCCUGGCAGGGCAAAGAAAAAAGCCAAGUGCGGACAAAGCAGGGAAGCCAGUCCUUCUGCUGGAAAUAAGCACAGAUGGCAGCAAUGCAAUUGAAAGUACUCCAGGGCUCACUCCCGAUCCAGUGGAUUGUUUGGAACAGAAGAGGUAGCAACCCACGGCAUAUCCUUGGCCUCCUGUCAAGAAAUGAUUGAUAAUCAGAGGCGUGGUGGUGAGCCAUGGCCAUUUGAGAGCCCCCACACAUUAGGCUUCGCAUCAACUUUCAGCCACUUUCAAUCAGAAUUUCAUUUAAGAUUCCUAAUAGCAGAGCUGCCUGCAAAACAAAUAGAAGCAGCUGCCUUCAUUGGGCUUCCCUCCUCACCCCUCAGUGAGAACCUCUGGACUUGUACCAGGCAGCCCCAUUGCUUCAGGCAGCCGUGCUCUGGCUGUGAGUUCCAGCAAUCUGAAUACUCAGGCUUCAAGGUCUGCUCUGAAUUUGGCUCCUGAUGUUGGUCACCUGAUGGCGCUGACAGCAAUGUGGAGUCAUGAAUGCGACAUAUGUGAAACAGGAAACCUUACAGAACUGAAAGUAAGAUGUCUCUUGGGAGCUGUACUCUUAAGUAUCUGUAGAACUGUAGCAAGGCUCUUCUCUUGUUGAAGCUCAUACUUUUAGGUGCUUGUACCACCUUGACUGCUGUGCAGAGGCAGUAGGCAGUUGUAGAGACCAAUGAGGUCUCCCCUCAGCCUCCUCUUCUCCAGACUAAAUAAAACCGAUUCUCUCAGUCACUCCUCAUAACACUUGUUUUCUAGUCCCUUCACCUGCCUUGUUGCUCUUCCAUGUGGCUGGGAAAGCUGCUAAAUAGAAAU